rnacentral:ncRNA from 2 species
CGCAGCAGCACGAGAGCGACCCAUUUGCUGGCAGACAAUCCAGUCUCAUUACAAGGCAAACGUGAUGGGGCUGUUUUCUGCGCUUAACCCCGUCUUCCAAUAAUUGGAAAAAUGCAGUGCAUUGCACUUGAUUGCACAACUCCUCGUCAGCGUUAGGGAACGGACUGCAUUGCUCGGGGCGAACAUCGUUCUCCUCGCGGUUCCGUAGUCCCG